AGAGAAACGAACUAACUUUUAAUGGAAUUUCUUUGAUGCAUGCAUUAUCCAGGUCAGAAGAUUUGCUCUCAGUACUUUUGAGAAGCCUUGAUCACCUUUCACAUCUGCAAUUUUGAUGAGAUGAGUUAAAGGCCAUCCUUAUUGAAGAAUAUCAAACCUAAUGAUAUGCAUGUGAUAUUUUGAUGUUGGAUACCUGUCCAUCUUUGGAGUUAUUUUCUUAUUUAAUCAGAGGACCUCACUUCAUGAGAGCCAUUGCGAGAACUAGAAACUCUUUAGUUUCUCCUUUUUCCCAUUGCAUUGAUAGGGAAUCGAAACUUUACUGCACUCUCUUUAUAAGAGAAUUCAGGAGAUCAUAUAGAGGUAAAUAGAUGCAUUAGACUUUUAGAUACGUGGCAUUAGUCAUUAUAUUCAGCACCUUCCAUAAGUCCAAUUUUCCAUUUCAACUGGGAUAAGUGGUUCAUUAUAUUGAUUCUUUUUUGUAUUCAGGACUUUGGAAUACUGAUACAAAUUGUGUUUUUCUUUUCUGUCCAAUUCAAUACCAUAUGUCAUCAAAUUCUUUGCUAUUCAAUUCCAUCUUCCCUUCCCAGAAUCACGUAGACACAAUCAAAUGCAUAGCAUUUGAGUUCUUAGUUUUGUAUUGAUGACUUUAAAGGAUGGCUGAUGAGGAAGGACAUUCUAUCAGGAUGGACGGCUUGUGAAGGCUCAUAAUUACAAAGGAGUGAUUUUGGUGUAAAUUACUCAGUCCCUUAAUAUGAUGUGGCAGCUCGGUGUGAUAAAUGUUUGCUAUACAAGGGUAGCAUCCCCACUAACUUGGAUAUGCCUGAGUUACAAAUUGUCCAAAACGUUGAAACCGAUGAAUGAACUGAGGCACAACAGCCCAUUCAUCCUUGCACCAAAAACCAACUCUACUGUCCUUUUAUUGAGUUUGAUUCUGUUGUCAGUUGAAAGUUGCAAUUGAAGAAAGUUCCAUGAAAUAUAUGGAAGCUCUAAAGCACUUGGUGUUUCCUAUCCUCUGGUUUUGGUGACUGGUUAUAUCCAUUAACCACACCUGAGACAAAUUAGUUCCAACCUGAUUUGUUUUCCAGACAGUUGACAUUGGAGCAAUUUGAGAUCUUUAAUCUUCAACAGGUCCAAUAUUACCAGAAUAUGCAUCUUUUAUACCUUUGCUUGUUUUAUUUCUUCAAAUGUGUAUUUGAUGGAUGCUUAUACCUCUUCUUGGUACAAGUUCCUAACAGAUUUUGCUUCUAACUCAUGUGCUUCAUCUUUGUUCGCAGUAUGUGAUGAAUACUGCCUCAAUUUGCCCUUCAUCUUACGGGCUGAUAGCUCUGUUCAAGGAUCAUAGAUCUUGUGAUUUAGGGACUUGUUUUAUUGAUGCAACAGCAGCAAACUACAAUAUGCAUAUUUUCUGCAUGAUUGAAUCAUCUAGGAACCUUAUUCAUCAAAUUGAAGCAGAUAAAAAAUCUUUCUUCACACUGACAUUCAACAAUAUUUUUAAAGUACAGACAAACUGCAGAGUUUCGACGAUUUUAUUGGCAUGAUCCUUGGACCAUGGACAUGCUAACAACAUUUCUUGUUCAUAGCUGCAUCUAAAACUUACAUAUGGUAACCUAGAGAAGGGUGAGUCAUUGAGUUCCUUUUUCAUUGUAAAGCUGACUACAAAGAUUACUUGAGCAUUAAUGAGGAUAGUUGGAAUUAAAUCAGGGAUUCAGGAUAUUGUAAAGGUGUGCUUAGAUGCCUUUUUGGACACGCCUAAGUUGUGAAAUGGCUCAAGGCCUGUUUGGUAAGGAGUUAUAAUUUUGUAAGGAAAAUUACAUGUCAAUGAUUAUUAUGGUGAUCGAACUUUGUCUCCGAGCAUGUGUUUUUCUUCAUAAAAUUUCAUUGUCACUUUCCUAAGUGGUGAUGGAAAUAUGUGAUGAAACGAUGUGGGGAUGGACAAACCUAACCAUUUGGCAUAAUGCCAUAAUGGCAUGAGACUCUCUUAACAAGAUUAAUCCCCUAUAAUACAGACCGUUUAAGCCAAAUGUGAUGUUUUGCUAACUAUUUAGGAGGAAAUGUCAAAUGUGGCAUUUGAAUUUGUUGGGGAUUAUAAAUUGAUUGAACAUGCCUUAUUAGUAAUGUCCAGUCUUACUAGUAGAGGGUUUCUAAACAGUCAAGUUCAAGUUUAGGAAAAAGCUCUAAAUUGUUGGCUAGAGUAGUUAGGAAUUAUUUAUCUUUUAAGAGGUAUAUAUUGUGUGUAAACUUCUAAAGGAUGAUUGUGAUACACAAAGAAACUGUAAUGAAUUGUUGUCUUUGUGUUUCCAAUCUACCAUACACAAUAAAAACUAAUGGUCGAACAACUAAGAGAAUCUUCAAUAACAAACUAAUUGUCUAAUAAUUAGAUUGUCAUGUCAAGUAAGAAUUCAAGCUACUCUAUUUUAGCUAGUUUGUACCCAAAUUAUAGUAAUUAGCUAGUGUCUAUUAACAUUUUUGUCAAGCAAUUUAGUUUAGCCAAGUCCAAUUUCAAUUCCUAACUACCACCAUUGUAGUACCAAAGAAGGCCAAAAAGGGAUUGGCUCAUGCAAAAUGGUCAUAAUCCAUUGUUGAAUGAGCGAACUUCAAAUGUAUUUACUCCUUUUGGCCCACUAAGAUUGUUUCAUACUCCUAAAUAACUCGUGUGCUACCACAUAAAGACAAAACCAGAAAUGUCACAAGUUUGGAUGCAAAUCAACUUAUAAAAAAUAAACUAAGGGGUAUGGGACAAUCUUAAGUAGAAUGGAGGGAUAGUUAAUGGAUCUAAGAGGACAUGAGUCACUAUCGAACCAAUAUUUAGUUAGACUAAGUUUUACUUCUUUCUCUCUUUCUUUGUAAAUUCUAGCCUUAUGUGAAGGUUUUCUAGGCUUGUAGGGUCUUUACAAAAAUAUGUGUAUACAUAUAACUGUUUAUUCCUCUAAGCAAGUCCUAGAUUAUCUUCAUGAUAAACAAGUAUUGUAAAAAAGUGACAAGUUUGUAAAUAAAUCAACAAAAAUACUCCAUCAAUUAUAUGAUAUGUGUACAUGUCAUAACAGUGUAAUUUUGUUGACUUAUGUAUAAAAUUUCCACUUGAUUUGCAAUUUGGGUUUUCUCACAUCUCUCCCCGAUGAAGAUUAUGUUGUGUGGCAAGGUUAAAUGUUUAUAAGAAGCAAAGAGUAGAAAUGGAAAGGUGAAUUUGUAAGCAUGCAUGUAAUAGUUAAUAUAAGAUGUUUAUAUUCAUAUACUUCUCUCCCUUUCCUUUUAAUCGGUUUAAAAUUCAUCUUGAUUUUUAGUUUUCAAAUAUACGAGUAUUAUUUUUGUAUAUUGUUAUUGUUAUACAUAAUUUGCGAUAUUUUAAUUAUAAUAUUGCAUUAAAAAUUGUGUGAAAAGCAAAUCUGAUAAACAAAAGAUGGAGUAUAAAGAAUACAAAUCUUGGGUUUGAAAUAUUCUAAGGAGAUUAUCUCAUUUAAUAGGAUCCACUGAAUGGACAAGUUUAUAAGGUAAUUUUGCAAGUCAAUUUAUUUUGAGUAUUGUUUUUAUACCACCCUCUAUUCCUUAACAUUAUUUCUAGUUUUUAUUCUAGUACUCACUCUGUCAGAAUAACUGAGAUGCUGGACUUUUUUAUUAUUCAUAGGUUCAUUUUGACUAUAGCUUUUUACAAACUAAAUAAAAACAUAUUUUGCCAUGAAAUAAAUUGUUGAAUAAAUAUUAAAAUAAAAUUUCAUAAUAUAAUUUUUCUUCUAAUUUGUACUAGUGUUUACUAUAUAUAAGUAAGGUGAAACUUAUGCAUUGAUAUGUGAGCAAAGUUUGACUGUGUUAAUUAAUUUGGGACAAGGGAGAAAUUUGCUCCCCCCUCCUACUCUUUUCUUUAUUAAUCUAUUAAUGACUCUCUCCUUUUCUCUCUUGUGUGUGGCCAUGUGAGUAAACGGUAAAGACAAGGAUUCAUUAAAGUCAA